rnacentral:rRNA from 1 species
GUGAGGAAUUUUCCGCAAUGGGCGAAAGCCUGACGGAGCAAUGCCGCGUGAAGGAUGAAGGCCUAUGGGUUGUAAACUUCUUUUCUCAGAAAAGAAUUAUGACGGUAUCUGAGGAAUAAGCAUCGGCUAACUCUGUGCCAGCAGCCGCGGUAAGACAGAGGAUGCAAGCGUUAUCCGGAAUGAUUGGGCGUAAAGCGUCUGUAGGUUGUUUAAAAAGUAUUCUGUCAAAGAUUAGGGCUUAACCCUAGAUAGGAAGAAUAAACUUUUAAGCUAGAGUUUGGUAGAGGCAGAGGGAAUUCCCGGUGGAGCGGUGAAAUGCGUAGAUAUCGUGAGGAACACCAAAGGCGAAGGCACUCUGCUGGGCCAAUACUAACACUGAGAGACGAAAGCGAGGGGAGCAAAUGGGAUUAGAUACCCUUGUAGUCC